CCUACGGGAGGCAGCAGUGAGGAAUAUUGGUCAAUGGACGCAAGUCUGAACCAGCCAUGCCGCGUGCAGGAAGACGGCUCUAUGAGUUGUAAACUGCUUUUGUACGAGGGUAAACUCAGAUACGCGUGUUUUUCUGCAAGUAUCGUACGAAUAAGGAUCGGCUAACUCCGUGCCAGCAGCCGCGGUAAUACGGAGGAUUCAAGCGUUAUCCGGAUUUAUUGGGUUUAAAGGGUGCGUAGGCGGUCGGAUAAGUUAGAGGUGAAAUCCCGCGGCUCAACGUCGGAAUUGCCUCUGAUACUGUUAGGCUAGAGAGUAGUUGCGGUAGGCGGAAUGUAUGGUGUAGCGGUGAAAUGCUUAGAGAUCAUACAGAACACCGAUUGCGAAGGCAGCCUACCAAGCGACGUCUGACGUUGAGGCACGAAAGCGUGGGGAGCAAACAGGAUUAGAUACCCGGGUAGUC
rnacentral:rRNA from 1 species